CAAUAGCGUAUAUUAAAGUUGUUGCAGUUAAAAAGCUCGUAGUUGGAUUUCUGAUUGAGACAUCAGGUCGGGUCCGAGAGGAUCAUGUACUUUGAUUUGUUUUGAUCAUCCUUGGGGAGAGCAGUUCUGGCAUUAAGUUGUCGGGGUUGGGAUCCUCAUCGUUUACUGUGAAAAAAUUAGAGUGCUCAAAGCAGGCCUCGGCCUCUGAAUACAUUAGCAUGGAAUAAUAAGAUAGGACUUUGGUGGUCUAUUUUGUUGGUUUGCACGCCAAAGUAAUGAUUAAUAGGGAUAGUUGGGGGUAUUCGUAUUCAAUUGUCAGAGGUGAAAUUCUUGGAUUUAUGGAAGACGAACUACUGCGAAAGCAUUUACCAAGGAUGUUUUCAUUAA
rnacentral:rRNA from 1 species